rnacentral:rRNA from 1 species
GACGAACGCUGGCGGCGUGCCUAAUACAUGCAAGUUGAGCGCUGAAGGUUGGUUCUUGUACCAACUGGAUGAGCAGCGAACGGGUGAGUAACGCGUGGGGAAUCUGCCUUUGAGCGGGGGACAACAUUUGGAAACGAAUGCUAAUACCGCAUAAAAACUUUAAACACAAGUUUUAAGUUUGAAAGAUGCAAUUGCAUCACUCAAAGAUGAUCCCGCGUUGUAUUAGCUAGUUGGUGAGGUAAAGGCUCACCAAGGCGAUGAUACAUAGCCGACCUGAGAGGGUGAUCGGCCAAAUUGGGAAUGAGAAAAGGCCCAAAAGCCUACGGGAGGCAGCAGUAGGGAAACUUCGGCAAUGGACGAAAGACUGACCGAGCAACGCCGCGGGAGUGAAGAAGGCUGUCGGAUCGUAAAACUCGGUUGGUAGAGAAGAACGUUGGUGAGAGUGGAAAGCUCAUAAAGUGACGGUAACUACACAGAAAGGGACGGCUAACUACGUG